AAAAUUAUAGAAGCUUAUCAUUUAUCACCAGAUUCUGGUUCAGCCCAAGGCAAGGUUCAGCAAAUGUACUUUGGCUGUGCUGAUCCUUGCGAAUUCCCCAAAUGCGGGAAUUUCAACUGCAAAAUUUCUGGUAGUGGAACACUGUGUUCAUGCUCUCCCCUG
ensembl:snRNA U1 U1 spliceosomal RNA